AUAAAGCCGCGCGUUAGAGGCCUAUGUAACCAUGGUGACACGUCACAAGGCGUCCCCGUAUGCUUCCGCCCUCCCUGCCCUGCCGUACCAUGCCCCGCCCUGUAGAACGGCCCCCUCACUAGUACCACAGGUUGGUAGGCGGUAGUUGGAAUUUGGAGUCAUUCAGUAAGCGGCUGUCAGGAUGAUGAGGAAGGUAGUGGUCGUCACAGGCGCUAACAGUGGUAUUGGCUUGGCACUCUGUGAGCGUCUUCUUUCCUAUGAUGACCAAAUCCGUUUGUGCUUAGGAUGCAGGAACCUGCAGAGGGCAGAGGCAGCCCGUACUGCCCUCUUAUCUUCUCACCCAACGGCUGAUGUCAGUGUCCUGCUCGUAGAUGUUGGUAAAGUUACGUCUGUUGUACGAGCCGCGAAAGAGCUAAAGGAAAGGUAUAAGAAAGUGGACUAUUUAUACUUGAAUGCUGGGAUAAUGCCAAAUCCUCAACUUAGCUUCAGGGCCUUCAUCAAAGGUUUGUUUUCCAGGAACGUCAUCAAUAUGUUUGCAACCGCUGAGGGAAUUCUGACCCAGAAGGACAGGAUUACAGAAGAUGGUUUGCAGGAAGUUUUUGAGACCAAUGUUUUUGGCCAUUUCAUGCUGUCUUUCAGAUUACCAGCACAGUCAGGGUCAGGAACCCUACAGCUCCUCAAAAUAUGCGACAGACUUGCUAAGCGUGGCUCUGAACAAGCAGUACAACAAACAAGGCUUGUACUCCAGUGUGGUAUGCCCAGGCCUUGUGAUGACAAAUCUAACAUACGGCAUCAUGCCUUCUUUCUUUUGGACACUAAUCAUGCCUAUAAUGUGGCUGAUCCGCGUUUUUACAAAUUCAUUUACCAUCUCACCAUUCAAUGGAGCAGAGGCAUUGAUGUGGCUGUUCAAUCAAAAGGCAGAAUCACUUGACCCCCUGUCAAAAUAUCACAGCUGCACGUCAGGACUGGGGAAUAAUUAUGUUUGUUUAUCAAAGAUGGAUGUUGACGAGAAAAGUGGUGACUUGUUACUUCAGAAGAUGCUGGAAUUAGAAAAGGAGAUUUGUAAAAAAUCUAUCCCUGAUUAUAGGAAUUCAUAGAUUUCUCCAGGCAUUGAAUCAUCCUUUCACAGAGAUGUUAUGUCCUCCCAUUGUUCGGGUGAAUUCCAGAAAACUUUCAAAAGCUUUAUGUGGGGAUAUUUGAAGUUAUUUAUCAACAUCAGUUAGUAGAUCCCUGGAUACAUACCUCUUUCUAUGGGGUAGAAACUAAAAGAUGGUCUCUUUCUCUGUACUGUAAUUUGCUAAGAAGGGUUAUAUCAUUGUACAAGUAUGGGAUCUAAUAUCUGGAAUGCUUGAUAUCUGGGGCUUGUCAGAUAGAAGGCCUUUCUGUAAUUUAGAGCACUGUGCCUUAAAUUAAAAAAUAAAUAUAUAUAGGAUUGCUUUGGCAUUAAUAUGUAUAUAUUCCAAAUUAAUUGUUUUUAAGGCCAUUCUGUCAUGGAAAAGUUUCCCUGGUGCCCUCAGCCAUGUGACUUGUGCUCUGAUAAACUUCAGUCACUCUUUACUGCUGCACCGCAUAUUGGAAUUAUAUCACCCCCCCCCCCCCCCAAUAUUUCCCCCAGCAGCCAACGGACAGAAGAAUGGGUAGGUAACAAUAUAGCAGCUUCUUGACACCUGCAUUGCUAAAAAUGUUCCUAUGCCCCACGUAGUGGUAGAUGUGAGAGUAACACUCAGUAAUAAAGUCCCCAUUACUCCUCCAAUUAUAUAAAGUAGGAGAAACAGUGGCUUAUCUGAAAGCUCAGAAUCAGGCACAAUGCACUGAGAUGGCUGCCUACACACCAGAAAUUAAUAAAAUACAUUUAUUGGUUCAAGAAUAACAUUUUAAAUAGUAUAAUUAAUUAUAUGCAAUGUACACAGAGUAAUUUAGUAAUAAAAAUGCACAAUAAAAUCGUGACAGAAUCUCUCUAAAUACUGUCUGAUUGUUACAGAAUAAAAGCAAGUCUGUAGAAAUGAAAGUUUCCCACUGUGGGAAAUGCCAGUGCUGUAUUCUGGAGCUUUCUGGAUAGAUCCCAUACUUGUAGUUUGUUUUGGUACAACAAAGCUGACCUACAUAAAUACAAGUCUUUUUCACAUGUAUUGAACCAUAUGUUUUUAAUCAAAGAUUUCUCUCCUACUUUGCUUCCAAUGGGCAAGUAGUAAUAAUUAUUGUAGACAAAAAUGACAUGUUCGUGGGCCAUAAGUCUAAGCAUCAUCUCUGCACUGGUUACCCAUUUCCCCUGCAGGGUGUUUUGGAGUCGGUUUUUAAUUAAUUUAUAUAAUUAAAAUGUAUAAGAGUAUGCAAACUGUGUUUCUGAUUCAAUAUUGGAUGUAUGUGACUGCAAAUUCUAGUUCAGUCUAGUUAUCUUUGUGCUUACUUCAUAAUAAUAGUAAUCAGUCAUAUGUUUUUAAUAUUCCUUUCAAUGCUUGACCAACAAAAGCUAUUGGUUCCUAUAAACUAUUGGACCAGAACAAAAAUAUGACGACAUAGCCCCACUUAGUCACAUUCCUAGUGCAUAGUGAGCAAUCAUAUUUGUCCUACCUCAGGUCCAAGGUACCAUUUUACUGUACUGAUUUUAACCCCUUUAUAUACUAAGGUUACAUUUAUACCAAGGUUACAUCUGCACUAAAAAUCACUUGAAUAUUGUUUUCAUCCUUUCUCACUGUGAAUUACAAUUUCUUUUUAAUUUCCAGCUUUUUCAGGCUUAAUUUUACUAUAACACAGUAAAAUAAUGGGAAUUCAGCCUAGAAUCCCAGGACUUUAAUAGGAUAAUCUUGGGGCUGGCAGAAAAUAAUUCCACUUCAGAGUAUAGUUACCCUCUAUUUUAUACCUACACUUACCUCAUCUCAUAAACACCUGCUAUAGGUGAUAUUCUGUGAUUUUUUUAAAUAAAAGGACAUUUUCAGUACACUGGUGUCAUUAGUUUUGCUGUAUAUAUGUACAAUAUUAUAGGUUCAGUGCAAUAACACAGAAGCAGAGAGCAUAAUGAUCAAGAGGAAAUCGGCCAUUUAACACACAACUAAGACUGAUGUUGGCGAGGUUGCCAGCAAUCUGAUUGUUGCCCAGGGGCUAACAAUCACAUCAUGCUGCAUUCCUAUGGGUUAGGUGAGGAUAACAAUGCCUUGAUACCCCAUAUACGAGCUAAUAGGCUUCCAGAUCUGUCUGGAGGGGCUUUCUGGAAUCAGCCCUUGUAUGAGCAGAUUAACACACAUCAUUAUUAUAGGAUAUAAGUAUAUACAAUUAUACGUGUUAUGAACUGCACUGUAGUGAGUAAUGCUAGAAAUGAAAAGAAUAGACUUUUUAAAAUUAAAAUAGCUGGAAGAAUCAUA